UGGGGAAUUUUGGACAAUGGGCGAAAGCCUGAUCCAGCAAUGCCGCGUGUGUGAAGAAGGCCUUCGGGUUGUAAAGCACUUUUGUCCGGAAAGAAAUCCUCUGGGUUAAUACCUCGGGGGGAUGACGGUACCGGAAGAAUAAGCACCGGCUAACUACGUGCCAGCAGCCGCGGUAAUACGUAGGGUGCAAGCGUUAAUCGGAAUUACUGGGCGUAAAGCGUGCGCAGGCGGUUUUGUAAGACGGAUGUGAAAUCCCCGGGCUUAACCUGGGAACUGCAUUCGUGACUGCAAGGCUAGAGUAUGGCAGAGGGGGGUAGAAUUCCACGUGUAGCAGUGAAAUGCGUAGAGAUGUGGAGGAAUACCGAUGGCGAAGGCAGCCCCCUGGGCCAAUACUGACGCUCAUGCACGAAAGCGUGGGGAGCAAACAGGAUUAGAUACCCUGGUAGUCCACGCCCUAAACGAUGUCAACUAGUUGCUGGGGAUUCAUUUCCUUAGUAACGUAGCUAACGCGUGAAGUUGACCGCCUGGGGGAGUACGGUCGCAAGAUUAAAACUCAAAGGAAUUGAC
rnacentral:rRNA from 1 species